rnacentral:rRNA from 1 species
UACAGAGGUCUCAAGCGUUGUUCGGAUUCAUUGGGCGUAAAGGGUGCGUAGGUGGCGCCGUAAGUCAGGUGUGAAAUUUCGGAGCUUAACUCCGAAACUGCAUUCGAUACUGCCGUGCUUGAGGACUGGAGAGGAGACUGGAAUCUACGGUGUAGCGGUGAAAUGCGUAGAUAUCGUAAGGAAGACCAGUGGCGAAGGCGGGUCUCUGGACAGUUCCUGACGCUGAGGCACGAAGGCCAGGGGAGCAAACGGG